rnacentral:rRNA from 1 species
AUUGAACGCUGGCGGCAGGCCUAACACAUGCAAGUCGAACGAGUUGCGGACGUGUGAGUAAUGUCUGGGAAACUGCCUGAUGGAGGGGGAUAACUACUUGAAACGUUAGCUAAUACCGCAUCCCAUCAGAUGUGCCCAGAUUGGAUUAGCUUGUUGUUGGGGUAACGGCUCCCCAAGGCGACGCUCCCUAGCUGGUCUGAGAGGAUGACCAGAAACAGGUGAACUGAUACACGGUCCAGCCUCCUGCUGGAGGCAGCAGUGGGGAGUAGUGCACAAUGGGCGCAAGUCUAAUGGAGCCAUGCCGCGUGUAUGAAGAAGGCCUUAGGGUUGUAAAGUACUUUCAGCGGGGAGGCGUUACCCGCAGAAGAAGCACCGGCUAACUCCGUGCCAGAAGCCGGGGUAAUUC